CGAAGUGUGGGAUAACAGCUCGAAAGGGCUGCUAAUACCGCAUGUGAUCCCCCGGAUUAGAAGCCGGGUGAUUAAAGGCGAAAGUCGCUUCGGGAGGGGCCUGCGUCCCAUCAGCUAGUUGGUAGGGUAAUGGCCUACCAAGGCGAUGACGGGUAGGGGACCUGAGAGGGUGGCCCCCCACAAUGGAACUGAAACACGGUCCAUACACCUACGGGUGGCAGCAGUAGGGAAUAUUGGUUAAUGGGCGAAAGCCUGAACCAGCAACGCCGCGUGCGCGAUGAAGGCCUUCGGGUUGUAAAGCGUUUUUUGAGGAGAAGAGGAAGGACGGUACCCUCAGAAUAAGUCUCGGCUAACUACGUGCCAGCAGCCGCGGUAACACGUAGGAGACGAUCGUUAUCCGGAUUUACUGCGCGUAAAGCGCGUGCAGGCGGUUCGGCAAGUUGGAUGUGA
rnacentral:rRNA from 1 species